UGAGGAACAUGACUUUCGGCGGGGGAUAGCCGGCCCAACGGCCGGGUAAUACCGCGUACGACCACUUGGGGACAUCCUCGAGUGAUGAAAGCAGCAAUGCGCCGAUGAAGUGCCUCGCGGCCUAUCAGCUAGUUGGUGUGGGUAAUGGCCCACCAAGGCGACGACGGGUAGCCGGCCUGAGAGGGUGACCGGCCACACUGGGACUGAGACACGGCCCAGACCUCCUACGGGGAGGNAG
rnacentral:rRNA from 1 species